UUUGUAGGCUGCAGCCAAAAUUAUGAUGAAAAAGAAAAAGAUGACAGCACAAGAUGUGUCAACAAUGUUGAGAUGUGAACAGAGGACCAUCAUCUUCCUUAUAGAACCUGAGAAUUUUUGUUUCUUAGUGGAUGCUUUCAUAGUACUUGUAUGUAUAAUUGGUAUGUAUAAUUAGUUUGAAUUUUGUGCCGAUUUGUUUUGUAAUAAUUUUUAACUUACCACUAGGCACUAGUUUAACUUUAUUUCAUCUUAGAAUUGAAA